GCGUUUUCCCUUGUCACUUGUGACUUUUGACAGCAUAGAAUUGAUAUCAACGUCGGUCGGUCGUAAACAUAGUUUUAGAUUGAGGCCUCAAGGUAAAGUUUUUACUCAUCAAGACUACAUGCAAUAGCAACUGCAACUGCAACUGCAACUGCAUGAGUGUCCCAUUUUCUCUAUAUUUUUCUGCAGUAUCAAGGAUCACG
rnacentral:lncRNA from 1 species